ensembl:lncRNA
GACGUGUUGCCGGGGGUGGUUACCCAGUGGCAGGCCGUCGUUCAAAGUGUCCAGAUUAAAGGAUCUGAUGACUGCAGCAUCGGGGCCGGUAAACAGGCAGACGAUAAGGCCGAGGGCCGCGUCGCUCUUUCCUUAUUGCCCACGCCGUGACUAACCCCGUCCGCCUCAGAGGGUAAACAGCAAUCCCUCAGCCGACCCCGAUUCAAAACCUCCGCAAGGUGGACAAGAGGACCGCUGGUGGUUCCAGGAGACCUUGUUCUGAUCCCCAGCCCAACAAGGACACCCAGAAGGACAUGCAUGGUGCCUGGGGGUCCGUCUCAGCCUUGUAAUAUCCCGUGAACGAAGGCUCC